GGUGUUACUGUAGAGUGUGUGUGUGUGAGAGUCCUGGUGUUGCUGGAGUGUGUGUGUAAGAGAGUCCUGGUGUUGCUGGAGUGUGUGUGUGUGUGUGUGUGUGAGAGAGAGUCCUGGUGUUGCUGGAGAGUGUGUGUGAGAGAGUCCUGGUGUUACUGGAGUGUGUGUGAGAGAGUCCUGGUGUUGCUGUAGUGUGUGUUUGUGUGUGUGAGAGAGUCCUGGUGUUGCUGUAGUGUGUGUGUGUGUGUGUGUGUGUGUGUGUGUGUGUGUGUGUGUGUGUGUGUGAGAGAGAGAGUCCUGGUGUUGCUGGAGAGUGUGUGUGAGAGAGUCCUGGUGUUACUGGAGUGUGUGUGAGAGAGUCCUGGUGUUGCUGGAGUGUGUGUGUGAGAUAGUGUGUGUGAGAGAGUCCUGGUGUUGCUGUAGUGUGUGUGUGAGAGAGUCCUGGUGUUACUGGAGAGUGUGUGAGAGAGAGUCCUGGUGUUGCUGUAGUGUGUGUGUGAGAGAGUCCUGGUGUUGCUGGAGUGUAUGUGUGUGUGUGUGUGUGUGUGUGUGUGUGUGUGUGUGUGUGUGUGGUGUGUGUGUGUGAGAGAGAGUCCUGGUGUUACUGGAGUGUGUGUGUGAGAGAGUCCUGGUGUUGCUGUAGUGUGUGUGUGUGAGAGAGUCCUGGUGUUGGUGUAGUGUGUGUGUGUGAGUGAGUCCUGGUGUUACUGGAGUGUGUGUGUGUGAGAGAGUCCUGAUGUUGCUGUAGUGUGUGUGUGUGAUAGAGUCCUGGUGUUACUAAAGUGUGUGUGAGAGAGUCCUGGUGUUGCUGGUGUG
ensembl:lncRNA